rnacentral:misc_RNA from 1 species
UUCCCACCUGAUGACAUGAAGACCUUAUCCUCCCUCGAUCAAUUUUUAGUCUCAGUGGGAGCUGUGAAGAAGACAGUCUCGGGGAGGAAAAGAGCAGCAUGACAGAUAAAUUUAGCCACAAAAGUUUCACCAACCUAAACUUACAAAUACUUUUAUGUCAAUAGUUUGAUGGAUCAUCAUUGUAUUCUACGUUCAUAUUUGAAUAGAAAAAGCGUAUAGCUUUGAAUUUCGCUGCCAACAAGUGUUAUAUGUUCAGAUGUGAUGAUACCCAUAAGUUAAAAGAUAAAGCCGAAAAUUGAUUUCUUCUUUAUCUUUUAACU